rnacentral:sRNA from 1 species
UCAUCCCUGGAGACUGAAAUGUUCUGUUUAUUUAAGGGUUAUAACCACAGGCAGUGAAAGUGCAUGAUUCCCCACACAACCCUGCCAGUGUGCCUCAUUCCUAAACUGGAGGAACCACCACUAAGGCUUGGGGUGGGGAGCAGUCUUUCUUUAAAUAAUCUGUUCCUUCC